rnacentral:piRNA from 1 species
UAGGAUCACAGUCCUGACUCUGUUGGCCUU